CCAUCACUAACUACUGACACUGUGAAAAGUCCUGCUUCAAUUAAUGCUAUAGAAUUUUGUAAAAUCAGUGAUAAUUGUUUGAAAAAGAGGUCUCAUAACUAUUCCAGUGUUUGGGUGUUUGAAGUAUCUAGAUUCCCACAUAAGUGAUUCUUUCUAAUAUGUUUGUAACUUUGAAGAGUAAAACUUGUAAUGAAAUACAACUGGAAAACUUCUCACCCUCGCUUCAUUUCACACACACAUUCAUUCAAAUGAUACUUAUUGACUUCUGACUUCUGAUUAAGAUGCAAAAAGAUGGAAAGAGUGUGCUCCUACUUUUAAAAGCUAGAUAAUUUGCAAAAUCACAUCUAUUGAAAACCCAUCAAAAAGCUGAUCACAGGAAAACCAACUCACCCAAAUCUGAAGAAAGACGGGUAUGUCCAAUGAAAGUGGGACAUGAACUUUUGUGUAUGUGGGGCACUUGCUGAAACCAUUUAAGCUGGUAAGAAGAAUUCAUACAAAAUUCAUAACAAAUGACUGUAGUCCCACUACAGCAGGAGUGUACAGAAGCCCCGCUAGUCACAGACAGGCCAGCAUCAUGAAGGAGGCUUUUUCCAGAUCUCUCCCUGUCCCAGUCUUUCUCAUGAUCACUUGGUGAGUUCUGCAAGGGGAUAUGAAUUCUCCUGUGUCUACAGCUCUCAGGAUUCUGUCCUCUCCUGUUGUUGAGGGUGGUAAAAAAGGCACAUGACUUGGUACUCCACAUCAUUAGUCAUUGGAGAAAUACAAGUUAAGCUGUAGGAAGAUAUCAUUACACACCUAGUAGGAUGACUACACCAACCCUACCAAGCAUUGGUGAAGAUGUAGAGCAACUGAACACCUCAUACAAUGAUGGUAGGAAUGCAAACAUGGAAUGAAACCAUUUGAUGGUUUCUUUAAAGGUGAAAUAUAUACCUACCAUGUGACAUAGCCAUUUCACACCAUGUAUUUAUCAAAGAGGAGGAGGAAAAGCAGGAAGAAAUUGUAUUCCCAUACAAAGAACAGUGGAUAUUCACAGCAGUAUUAUCUACAAUAAGCUAAAAUUGGAAUCAACCCAAGUGUCCAUAAACUGGAGAACAGAUAAACAUACAGUGGCACAUUUGUGCAAUGGAACUCUGCAUUAAAAAGAAAUGAACUAUUGUUGCAAGCAACAGCAUGGUUUAAUCUCAACAUAGUCAUACUAAAUGGAAAAAGGCAGAUAAUAAUAAGAGUAUAUACUGUAUGCUUCCAUUUGUAUAAAAUUCUGGAAAAUUAAAACUAAUCUACAGGGAAAAGGAAAUAACUGGCGGUUGCCUAGAGAAGGAGAGGAAGAUAGGGAAGAACAGAAAAGUGAGAUUACAAAGGAGCACAAAGAAAUUCUGGUGAUGUUUCAAGGGUAUAUAAAUAUGUGAAAACCCACAAAAUUGCUUUAUUUUAACAUAUGCAACCUAUGGUAUAUAAUGAUACUGCAUUAAAACUCCUAAAAAUGAUGAUUGAAGUGAUUCUUAAAUUUUUGAUAUAAAAUAUGACAAAAUGCAUUCUUUUAUAAUCUGGUUUUGUUUUAGAAACACAAUAUUUGUCCUGCCUCAACCUAUCAGAAAACCAUCUGAUCAAAAACUAAUCAACAGAACAAUUUUAUUAGUAAACAUUUGAUCUAAAAUUAGGAGUUUGAGAGUUCCCAUGGUGGCACAGAGAAAACAAAUCUGACUAGGAACCACGAGGUUCGGGUUCAAUCCCUGGCCUCGCUCAGUGGGUUAAGGAUCCGGCAUUGCCAUGAGCUGUGGUGUAAGUUGCAGGUGCAACUCAGAUCAGAUGUUGCUGUGGCUAUGGCUACAGCAUAUAUAGCUGUAGCUCUGAUUGAACCCCUAGCCUGGGAACCUCCAUAUACUGAGGGUGCAGCCCUAAAAAGCAAAAAAUAAAUUUAAAAAAAUACGUAAAUAAAUAAAAUUAGGAGUUUGGGAUUAACGUAUGUAUAUAUACAUAUUACUAUAUAUAAAAUAGGUAAGCAACAAGGACCUACCAUACAGCAUAGGAAAUUCUACUCAAUACCUUAGAAUAACCUAUAAUGGAAAAGAAUCUGAAACAUACACACACAUAUAUAUAACCAAAUCACUUUCCUGUACACUUGAAACUAACACAACAUUAUAAAUUAACUAUACUUCAAUUUUUAAAAAUUUGACUUUACAUGAUUAUCUGUUGUACUUUUUUCUUUCCCACUAUUGGCAAUUUGGGUGUGCCAAAGGAACAGUUCUACCACAUGUAUAGAUCCUUUGACAUUAAAAUUCACAUAGAAUGUCAGAAUAUUUUUAUCUACAUUUUAGCCUUUUAUUUCUAAUUAAUGUUCAGCCAGUAUUCUUGCUCUGCAUUGUUUGUAAUAGUAAAAAUUUGAAACACAAGAUGUCCAUUAUUAACAUUUUGCUUAGGUCAUCAUUUAUUCUUUCCUAUUUAACAAUAAAACAUUUAAAAUGUGAAUUUUUUCUGAUUACUGGUUUGUCCAGAAUUGGUAUAAUAUUAUAUGACUAUAUUUCAUGCCUCAAUAGAAUAUGAACUGCAAAUAAUUAAAUUUCUUUUUUGCUUUUUUUCUUUUUGCUUUUUAGGGCUGCACCUGCAGCAUAUGGACGUUCCCACACUAGGGGUCAAAUCAGAGCCACAACUGCCAGCCUACCCCACAGCUACAGCAUCGCCAGAUCAGAGCUGCAUCUGCGAGUUACACCACAGCUCAGGGCAACGUGGGAUUCUUAACCCACUGAAGUGAGGCCAGGGAUGGAACCUGCGUCCUCAUGGGUACUAGUCAGAUUCGUUUCCACUGAGCCACGACAGGAACUCCAAUACCUUGAGUUAUAAGAAUUAUAAGAAAAGUUUUAUGUUUACAACUGAGAAGGAACAAGAUUUCUCGUGGUUGACUUUUCCCCAUCCCAAACUCUGGACAAGCAGCCACUGUCUAGCUCCACUCAGGAACGGUGGGCAGGAUAUUUCUAGAGAUUAAACCAGAGUCCCAGGUUGGGGCUCACAUAGUUUGGAGAUUCACACAGGACACUCAGUCCUGGUUUUUUCAAUUCAUAUGCACCUGUGUCACUACUUGCCCAUUAGAAAUUGGGUCCCCAACCACUGUGGGCUUUGGCUCCUUCUUACUAUUCUCAUUUUUACUUCCAUUUUUGAGUACUGGGGAUUAUGGUCUUUCGAGAUCAUCUAUGUGUUUUUAAGACAGCCCACUCACAGGAGCCCAGAUUGUCAUGUUACUGGAAGGUCAAACAUUUAUUUUAAAAGGAGUGUCUAUUCUAUGUACUUUUUAGUUGGAACUGAUAUAUUUAGUUUUAUUUAUGUCAAAUAGGAUAGUUUCUAUUUUUUGGCUUCCUUGAGAUUUCUUUCCACGUCUUUUUCUGCAUCCCCCUUGAUAUUUGAUGAGAACUCAUGGGAUACAAAAAUAAGUUAUUACAAGCCCUAAAAUACUUAAUUGAGUCAUUGUAAAAAUUCUAUUUAAAAUAUAUGUGUUGGAGUUCCUGUUGUAGCGCAGCGGAAACAAAUCCGACUAGGAACCAUGAGGUUGAGGGUUCAAUCCCUGGCCUUGCUCAGUGGGUUAAGGAUCCGGCAUUGCCGUGAGCUGUGGUGUAGAUCAAAGACGCAGCUCAGAUCUGGCGUUGCUGUGGCUCUGGCACAGGCCAUCAGUCACAGCUUCGAUUAGACCCCCUAGCCUGGGAACCUCCAUGUGCCGCGUGUGCAGCCCUAUAAUGACAAAAGACAAAAAAUAAAAUAAAAUAUAGGUGUUAAAAAUCACCUAAUUUUAAGGAAAGAAAUUGGUGACACCUCACACGCUUUUGAUGCUACAACACUCAGCCUUUAGCUCAUUUGUUUAAUUAGGGAAGAAAGAAAAUUUAACAUAUUUGAGGGGCAGUUUCCACAAAGUUUUUUAAAUCAGUGUUUAUUAUGAAUCUUGUCAUCAUAAAAGUAGCCUUCUGAGUUUAUCUAUUUACUAAGGAGGUCAGUGAUCUUCCCUGCAUUAUUCAAAAAUCUGUUUUAAAGUUUCUGAGGACAAUUGACUUACAAUGGCGAAUCAACAAGAAUUUGAUAUAGAAAAUUUCAAGUAGAGAAUCGUGUUGGUUUACGUAAUGUUGAAAACUAGCUCAGAAGAAAUUUAUUUUUUUCAGUCUACAAGUUUCUGUGUGAUCUCUUUGCCUUGUUCCCGGACUGUAUCUCAUGAUUUCCCUUCUUUCUACUUUCUUUCUUAGUCCCUCAGUAGCCAUACUGACCUCCCAUUUUUUCACAGAACAUACCAGACACACCCUCAACAAGGCCUUUCUUGGUCCUUCUGCCUGCAACGCUCUGUUUUGAUAUUGCCAUGGUUAAUUCCCUCAUCUCCUUUGGUUACAGAUCACUUUAUCCACAAGACCUACUUUCUCUGACCACGCUAUUUAAAUUAUAACCUGCACAGCACCCCAGCCCUUCUAUCACCCUUUACCCUUAUCUUCCUUUUCCCUUCUAUGGCUGAUCACUGUCAAUUAUCACUUAUACCCUCUAUAAUAUGUUCUUUACUCGUGUGUGUCAUAUAACAUUAUGUUAACAAUUUAUUUAUGUGCAUGCACACACCUUGCCCUGGCUCCUCAGGCAGGGAUCUUUGUGGUUCAUUAUUGUUGUUUUGUUAUUGAUACUCAAAUGCAUCUCAAGGGCAGAGAAUAAUACAUAGAACAUAAUAGGUGCUCAAUAUAUAGUUGUUGAAUAGAAUCUUUCUAAGUUUUGUUUUUUUCCUCCACUGACUCUGGCUUCACAAAUAUUGCCACAAACAUUUCCAUCAGUUUAAGAGUGUUGGAGUUUCUUCAGGUUAAAAAAAAAAGAAAAAAGCAUUUUUAAGUCUCUCCUCUCUGCAUACAUGUGGGAAAAAAAAUAAACAGUAGUGGCAGGCAUCAUUUAAAACACUAUAGAUGCUCGAUUUCCUGAAGAUUAAAAUCUAUUAGGAAAAUAGCAUUAAUUAAAUUGUAAUGAUUUAAUUAAAUAAUUACAAGAGUGUAAUGCUACUAGGAGUAAACUGAUAACACCUGGACCCUAAGAAGGGCAUAUAUAGUCUAUGAAUCCUGCAUUAUACAUCCAGGAAACUAGUACUGGUCAAAAAUAAGUCACUUAGUCACUUUGAGCAGACAGAGUAAUAUAUGCAAGCCUUAUACUUGAGAUUUAUUUCUAAAGUUCUCCCAAGUUUAUAUAUUUUGGAGAAUAUUACAGAGAAAGAAAAAGUUUAAUUGUUCAAGGAAUUUUAAUGACCUGUUUUAAAAUGCUUCUUCUGGACAUCCAUUUUGGCCAUGAGGAAGAUAGUGCAGAAUUAACAUACACUACAGCCAAAUAAAAAACCAGACAAAAACGUAAGACAUGAUCUUCAGAUAUCAGAAAGCAGUCAGCACCAAGCUGUGAUUCCAGAGAAAAGGGAGACACACAAGGUGGGAUCAUCCCUACCUCCACUGUCUAGGCUUCCAGCUUGGGGUUAAUUCCCCUAAGAGAGCACAUUACCCUGCACACACCCUCUAAUGUAGUACUAGCCAUGUUGUACUGUAAUGUCUGAUUAUCUCUCUAUUUCCUUAGACCAUAAAGUCCUCUUAGAGAAGGAAUUAUCACCUGUCUCUAUUCCCAAAACAUACCACAAAGAAGGAUCUAUGUAACAUCUAUUAAAUCAAGUAAACCCUGCAAGGAAUAGGGAGUGAAGGAACCAGCAUUUAUGGGCUGGAAAUGCCCCCCAUAGCAAACACCUCUGCAUCUUCCUAUACAGCAGCCAUGACAGCCUUGUUGGAAAUAAUGCUAACUUUCACAUUUGGAAGUUAGUUAACUGGCCAGAGUCACAGAGCUGAUCAACUCCACAGCAUGUUCUCUUCCUGCCCCAUCUUGCUUCCUCCUUCCUAAAACAGGUUGCCACAAAUUCUGCAUCAUUUAAAAGCCCUUAGUCAUAAAAGUAUAACCUCCACAGUGAAAAGUUUUAAAGUACUUUUGGGUUCUGUAAGUGGGCAAAGUGAAGUGCAAAGAUGAAAUGAUUUUAUGAGAAAAAAUUUUGAAUUUUCAAAUUUCAAGUUCUUGGUAAAAUUAAAAAUAUUUUGAGUGCACCAAAUUCCCUUAAAUGCUCUUUAGUAUUUUAACAAAAUUCUUAUCUAGAAAGAGAAAGAGGUUGAAAGAGAAAGGAAAGAGAAAGAGGUUGAAAGAGAAAGGAAAAGGAAAAGAUUGAAAGAGAAAGCAAGAGAUUGAAAGAGAAAGAGAUCAAAAGAAAAGGAAAGAGAGUGAAGGAGAAAAUGAAAGAAAGGGAUUGGAAAAGAGAUUAAAAGAGAAAUAAAUUUUUAAAAGAGGUUGAAAGAGAAAGUAACUGAAAGAAAAAGAAAGGGAUUGAAAGAGAAGGAAAUUAAGAGAUUGAAAGAGAAUGUGUAAUAUCCAUGAGGAUAUAGGUUUGAUCCCUGGCCCCACUCAGUGGGUUAAGGAUCCUGCGUUGCUAUGGCUGUGGCAUAGGCCAGUGGCUGCAGCUCCAAUUCAACACCUACCCUGCGAACCUCCAUAUGCUGCAGGUGCAGCCCUAAAAGACAAAAAAGAAAAAAGAAAAGAAAGAGAAUGUGAUUCAAAGAGAAAGAAAAGUAUUUGUGAAAGAAAGAUUGAACGAGAGAGUUUAAAAGAGAAAUAGUUUGAAAGAGAUUCAAAGAGAAAUAAAAAGAUUAAAUGAGAAAGAGAUUAAGAGAGAAAAGGAGACUGUGUAAAGCAGUGUUUUCCCAGAUAGUAAGAACAUUCUAAAGACGGGUACAUACCAUUCCAAGAAAGUAUGUCUCACAGGCAUACAGACGAUACUGCAGUGCUUUCUCCAGCCUGGUCUUUGCUUCUCCUUCUUUAAAAGGCAGAGUAGGUCUACUCUUCUCAACCACCCCUUUUCAUUGCUUUCAUUUAAAGCAGUAGUUCUCAAAUGCUGACCUCCACCAGCCCAAUUAGCAUCUCCUGGGAACUUGUUAGAACUACAAACUCUCCAGCUGCCCCAGACCUCCUGAAUCGGAACCUGGGGGUGGGACUUAGCAAACUAAGUUUAACAAGCCCUCCAGGUAAUUAAGAACCACUGAUUUAGAGCAGCUGUUUCAAACUUGGCUGAACUUUGAGGAAUUUAAAACUACAGCUGUCGGGGGCCUAACUUCAGAUGUUACGAUGUGGUUGGUCUAGGAAGUAGGUUGAUCAUCAGGACUCUUAAAAGUUAAUGUGCAGUGACAUUGGAGAAACCUUCCUUUAGACCUUGUUUUAGUCCUUAUCCACGAAAAUAAGUCUGUCUGGAAAAAGAUGCCAACUCAGUGGGCUGGACCCACUUCCAAUCACAGUUAUCCUUCCCGGAGAGACCUUAGUCAUAUGUAAAUCCAGAUGCAAGGCACCCAGGAUUCCUCUGGGUCGCCUGAACCUCAGUCUUCUGAGAACUCAGGUGUCCUCUGCUGCACCCAGAGCUAAAUCCCAAACAAUGUCACCUGCUGCAAUGACUGGGAGAAGACUGGUGGGAAAGGAUGGACUUAAACAUAAUUCUUACAUUUGAUCCUACUUAUGACUUUCAGAUUUGAGAGUAAAGCUUUUUCUAAUGAAGAGAAGUUAGCACCUUGGUAUCUAAAUGUAUGUGUAAUAAAUACAAGCAUAAUUAAAGGCACAAAGCACAUGUUCCUUUCUAGUCUAUCAAGCAGUCUUGGUUGGAUCUUCCCUGAGCUCCUAUGGUUGCUUUAUUUCAGCACAUAAGAGGCUGUUUUCCAGGUAAGUGCUCCAUCACUCGCCCUGGUAAGCUACAAGCAGAGAAUGCAUUUUAAGCAUCUCUGCAUCUGCAGAGCCAGGAGUCAGCAGGUAUUCUUUAAUAUUUGUUGGAUGAGUCAGUGAAUGAACUAUGAAAGCUACUCUCAAUCUUUAAGCAAGAAUUUGUAUUGUCUGUCAGCAGCC
rnacentral:lncRNA from 1 species